CCAAAUCCAUAAUCCAUCCUAACUAACGCUCUCCCAAAAUCGCAUCUAGGGUUUCACGGUAAGUCCUCCAGUCCACUGCAGCAAAUCGUCGAUCUCCCACCUCAUCUUCGUCCCACCUCCGUCGACGUCCAGUCCACUGCAACCGUCCCACCUCCGUCAGUCCACCGCAAUCUUCGUUUAACCGGAGAGUCGGAGACCCCAAUUGCAGCCACCACCGCCGUUCGCAACCACCACGACCGCUCGAAACAACCACCACCAUAUGGAGAUUUUUACACUCCAGCUGUACCACUUCAUAGGAUGUCUGUAGCUGUUGCUGAGUGCUUCUCUGUUCUUAAACCUGGUGGAUUACUU
rnacentral:lncRNA from 1 species